rnacentral:sRNA from 1 species
UACUUUCUACAUCGCGGUACUAUAGCCUC